rfam:Brassica napus, WGS project CCCW01000000 data, contig: 8226
GUAGUGAAGAAACCGUCUCUUAACUUUUAACUAAGAAAACUAAGAAGCGGCUUUUAAAUAUUUUAUUUAAUAACCGGUUCUUAGUUUUUUUUAGUUAAAAGUUAAGAGACGGUUUUUUAUAUUCC